rnacentral:rRNA from 1 species
UGGGGAAUAUUGGACAAUGGGCGAAAGCCUGAUCCAGCCAUGCCGCGUGUGUGAAGAAGGUCUUCGGAUUGUAAAGCACUUUAAGUUGGGAGGAAGGGCAUUAACCUAAUACGUUAGUGUUUUGACGUUACCGACAGAAUAAGCACCGGCUAACUCUGUGCCAGCAGCAGCGGUAAUACAGAGGGUGCAUGCGUUAAUCGGAAUUACUGGGCGUAAAGCGCGCGUAGGUGGUUUGUUAAGUUGGAUGUGAAAGCCCCGGGCUCAACCUGGGAACUGCAUCCAAAACUGGCAAGCUAGAGUACGGUAGAGGGUGGUGGAAUUUCCUGUGUAGCGGUGAAAUGCGUAGAUAUAGGAAGGAACACCAGUGGCGAAGGCGACCACCUGGACUGAUACUGACACUGAGGUGCGAAAGCGUGGGGAGCAAACA